CUGAAGUCAGAUGAAUUCUUUACGUCUAAUGACCAAGUUCAUCUGGAGGCAGCGAUCAAAGCUCUUCAAUCUCAGGGUGAUGACCCCCCAGCGUGAAUCCAGAUAUGCAGCAAAACGAUUACGGCAGCACUGUCUCGUAUCCCAUUGACCCAGAAACUUCAUCCAAGCCAAUUAAGCUCUUGGCGGGAUCCCUCAGACUUGACAUUCAACAAAAAGACUUGCCACGGGUCAGCAGUUGCAUGCUGGACUAAAGGAAGCAACACAAUCAAUAAUCUCCACAAGUGCAGGUCAUUGAGGGCACUGAGCGUAUCCUCCAGACGUGGCAUGACUUUCAAAGGACUGGCAUGCCUGCCACCUGAAGGUCGCAGGUUCACUUUUCCUGGAACAAAGCAAAUGAAAAGGAGAAGAUCAGAGACUGUCGAUCAUGGCGUGAAGUCCUUGUUUAUGUCUCAACAAAACUGACAGCAGAGCAUCACUCCAAACUUGAACCUAGGUCAGCCCAACUAUAAAUAGCCGUCUGUGUGAUAACACAGCCUGAAUGUCUGGCCAGAUUUGAUAUUAACUGGUUUAAUGUCUGAUCCCUAUAGAGACAGGUAAA
ensembl:lncRNA